GCAGGAAACUCCGGCCGAGAAGCGCCCCGUGCCGUGGGAGCAGUGCACCGGCCCGUGCCGCGAGCACUGCUGCAGGGCAAGCUCUGUGCCUGAGCAGCGCACGCCACUCAUCACCACCUCUCCGGCCCCCGGCGUCCCCUGCCAGUACCAGGUGUCCUGAGAAAACAGCCAGCAGCCCCUGGUUCAGGCCGAGGGGUGCUUUGGAAGCCUCUCCUCUGAUGCUCGUGCUCUAGAGCCCUGUCGGACCACCCCUGCCCAGCUGUGUCCGGCCUCGGCUCAGAAGUCUUCAGGGAUGGGACGCUCCCUGCUACUGUGCGCCCCUCCAAGAGCAGAAGUUUCUUCCGUUGCACUGAGGCAGGAAGAUUCUUCCGCCACUGGCCUUGCCCCCACCCUGUUCCACAGGGCUGCCCUUAGCUAUUGGAGAGGGGGCCCUGUCCCCUGUCCCACUCAGGUGGCCUGCCCCGUUUCUCCAACUGUGCCUCGUGUCGCCCUGGGCGGACGGCUGUGGGUAGGGUUGGCCCCAGUUCUCUAAGUGAGGAAUACCCGGCAGCCCCACCGGCCAGGCGUGCCCAAUGGAGGACGAGGUAGCAUCGCAGCCGCGCCCCGGCCUCGUGAUUUUCUUUCCUUGGUGCCUCUCGAAUCUCUCUGAAUUUCCCCCAGGACGGCCACUAGCCUGGGCCACACCAGUGUGACUUCUCGUCUGGGCAAUUGCCAUGUUAGGUUUCCUGUAUCCAUGCUGAUCUCCACCCCAACAGUGUGCCACACAGCACAGAAGAGAUUUUCGAGAAACGUGCACUGCAGACUUCACGGUUUGCCUGCCACCUCCCUCACAUACCACACCACUGGCCCUUGAUAGCCCCACUCCGGCCCUGGUCCCUGAUUUCCCCAAUGGGGGCAAGCCUCCAUGGGCCACAGGGUCUCUGCGUGGGCUGUUUAUCCCCACCCCACCUUCUCCCGGUAACUUCCAGUCAUCUUUCCUACAGA
rnacentral:lncRNA from 1 species